GCUUCUAUAUAUGAGUGUUCAAUGAAAGAGAUAUAGAAAUAUGCAUGGGUUGAGUCAUUAAGCAUGCAAAAACUGACCCCUGCCCCAAGAAGCUGUAUAUACAGGUACCUUUCACCAGGUAGGUGUAGAGAUAAGUUUUCCCACACCCUUGCCAACACAUGACAUCAGCAAACAUUUCUCUACAUUUCUCAGUGGGAUGUGUGGGUCUCACAUCUUAACUGCUCUUCCCCUGCAUAUCAUUUUAAAUGUACACCAGCCACUUAUAUUCCUUUGAACCUGGAUUUAGGAGAUGAUUAGGGAUAUAUCAGGAAGAUAUGUUUACCACUGAAGAGAAAGCAGUUGGGGUUAAAGUAGCAAGUGCCAUCAGAUGUUGAGCCUUUGGGGGAUGUGUUGUGGAUGAAAUACUGGAUACAGAGGGAGAGGAAUGUGGAUGAGGAAGGGGUAGAGCCAGCAUUGUAGGAAUCUGGACCACAUAAAAGGGCUGGUCUUCCAUCCUAUUGCCAAGGAACAUACAUCUGGCAUUUUUAGUUCCUAAGGUUUCAAAAUGAAGUUUACAUUUCAACCAUAUGUCUUUUUCCCUCUUACAGAAUUCCGGCAGUGGCAGAGGAUAGAGAAAUCCAGGACCUAUCUCAAUGGUAAAACUGACAAGGCUUGGUGGCUCCUCAAAUGUGAGCAAGAAGAUGAGGAUGUGUGCCACAGGUUUUGCACAACUCCUCAGAGCUUCUCUCCGCCUGUCUUCCAGCUCCAUGCGAAAGCCCUGUGGAAAGUUGCUUCUCCUAGUGUGGCUCGUGAUGGUUUUGCACAUUCAGAUUUGAGGAUUGUGGAUGCCCAAGAUUGCAUAAGGGAGGAGUCUGGAUCCCUGAGUCACAGUUUGGAGGACAGCCACUCACGGGACCCAGCUGAACAGACCCUCUGGCAUGGGAUUUUAUGGAAGGGAAAAGGUUCAGAACUGGCCAGGUGAUGUUUUUAUUGGGAGGAAAGCUUGGAGAAUCAACAGGAGAAACAGAAAAGAACUUGCAGAACAACCCCUGGGCUACUGAGUUGAGAAAUUGGAGGCUUACUUUCCCACGCUGUCAAAUGGACUUCGGGAUUGACACAGCCUUGGUGUGUCUGCUUAUUAAAUAAUUGGGAGGAUGGGGUAGUUUUGAGAGUUUUCUAAUUUGAAAAUUGGGCUUUGGGCAGGUUGUGGAGUCAGGCAAUGUCUGGCCUGAAGCUCUCAAGGCUCGCAAGUGUGAAUGAGCUUGUUCUGUGGCCCUGGCUUUCACCUUGGGAGGAGAACACAGGGAGGCUCCUCUGGAGAGGUCUUGGCUUCUGCAGGUGCCGUUCUUUUUAAUUAGGGUGUGGGCUGAUGAGGCCAGCUCCACCCAGAGGCAUCGUGGGAAGGGGGUGAAACCCAUCUGACAUCAAACAAAUGGCUUUGGGUGAGAGCAUCUCCCAAAUUCAUAAUUGUGGGGCUCAUCGUGCCCAAAGGGAGCUUGAGAAUUUAGGAUGUGAUUCAGAAAGAUAUUUCCGACCUUCGCCGGAAAUGGGGAGAAAUCAGUUUUAUUUAUUAAUUCCAUCUUGCCAGCUCCCAAUUUGGUGCAAACAGUUAUGUUUUGCAGCACGUUUCCACCUUGCAACUAGCAGAGUUAAUUUAAUGAAAUGAGUAGUCUUGUGAUGAC
rnacentral:lncRNA from 1 species